CAGGAAAAAACCCGUAUCACCACCCAUGAAAAGAACAUACAACGCCGCUACCCUCGAUCCCUUCGACCGCGCUCCCCUCGAUCGCCUCCGACGUACAAUCUCGCCACCACCGCCAAGCCGAGGUACGGGAUCGCGUCCAUCAUGUUCCUUCCCUGGGCGCCCCUCCCUGGAUCCACCCCUCGUGAUGCGGCCGCUCUAUCUCUCCCUCUUACCGCGAUGCGGCACUGCUCCCAUCUACCACUCCACUGCCGCUGCCUCCCUCCCCUGGCUUCCCCUAUCUCCCGCUUAGCCACCUCCACCCCCACCCUUCCUCUCCAUUGCCGGAUCUGGUUACAGAUUGUCAAGGUUAGGCGACGGAGCUCCAUGUCCAUGGCGCAUGCGUUCUCAUCAAGGAAGCGGCUCCCGGAUCUUGAUCGCACAGCCGUGACGGAGGGGAUUGAGGUGGCCGCCGCCGCUGAAGACCAAGCCCCCACCUUGUCCAGAAUCACUUCCAUUGUCAUGUUCCACCAAGGAAGGAGGAGGCGGCUCAAAGUCUCCCUCACUGCCGGCUCCAGAUGCAGCUGUCGCCAUGGGUGAGCGCCUCAUACACGACUAGUUUUGAUGGAUUCGUGGCCAGACGCACGUGUAGUGACAAAGGAGUCGGACAUGACGAGGCUCAGGAGAAAUUUGGAUCUUUUUAGACAGUAAUUGCAACCAUCCGUCUGAAUGAGUAUAAAAACAAUGCUAUGAGGACAAAGAGGAGAUAAAAGGAGUAUUGGAAACUUAAAACCAGCCCCCCAAAACCACUCUGCCUGGAGAAAGAAGACAAUAUUUGGCAUGAUCUGUUUCAUCUACAAUAGAAAUAUGCUUGGUAAAGGCCUCAUAUCACUUGGCAUCAAAGCGCUCAGGCUGCUUGAAAAGCAACAUGAUUCAUCCUCAAGGUACAUAAGAUCCAAAAUACUAAUUGAUUUUUUUCGGUAUAAUCAUGAUUCAGAAGAAAGGAGCACUAGCUCUUUCAUUAUCUAUAGAAAACAGUACAAAUUGUUCCUUUGUCCUGCUUAUUUCUACUGUGUUAAAUAAUCAUAGGCAAUAUUAUGCUGCUAAAUGUAGGGUUUCAUGAUAACUUUUGACCUGUGUUGUAGGUAGAUUACACCUAUUUUUGUAUUGCUUUGUUUUUAAGUAAAAUUGAGCUGGGCGUGUGCUCUGUUCAAACAAUAAACAAAAUAGAGUAUCCUCAUGUUGUAAAUAUACCUCAGUUUUUUUCAAUGGACAAAACACAUCUCAGGUUAGUGACAUGCUCUGUACACUACAUCUCUAUUGAACUAUGUGCAGUUUUCAGCUUGAUGUCUUUGAUUUAACGUCAUUAUUCUAGGACUGGAAAAUUUAGCAUUAGACAUAUUGAUUCAGUAAUGCAAUUAAUGCAUCGUAAAAACUAGGAAUAAUUUGGCUGUGUCGUCCUCGAUAUGUUAUGACACAAACAUGUUGAUCAUUUUCACGAUUGCAGACACAUUAUAAGCUUCAUCAUCUCACUGGUCUCUAGAUCAAGGUAUGCUCUUAACAAAAUAAAUUUAUCAUAUUAUGUAUUCAUAAAUUUUCUCACACAAAUUUAUUCAGAUAUAAAAUCGACUGUACACUGAAUAAUUUUGUAGGAAGAGAUAUUUUGAGAAGAAAAUAAGUGCCUUAGAAGAAAAGAAAAUGUAAUUUCCCAUUGCAUGUAUUGAUUAGAUUACUGAAUUCUUUCCCUAGAGAAGAAAUAAUUUAACUCAGUCAUUUCUAUCCUUUCUUUUGGGUUUAAUCUUCAUAAAAGUGGCUGAGUUUUGACGUUGGCUCGCCAAGCCUAUCAAGCUUGUCCAACAUUAUCUGAGAUAGUUUGGGCAUAUUCAACACAGGCCUCCUGAAGCUCUCGUGCAUAGCGGAUGGCUAAAGCGUGCUGAUACUGUCAAGAGAGGUUGGGGUAGACCGAACUUGACAUGGGAGGAGUGCGUAAAGAGUGAUAUGAAGAACUGGUUUUCCCAAUUUUCCUUCCACCAUUUUGUAACCCUUUGCAGAACCGUCUGGGGAGGUUUCUUAACAUUGUCUACUCAUCUGAUGGGAAAUAGGUAUCUGUUAUCUAUCAUGUGGUUAUGGAACUGAUACAGAUGUACCCUUCUUUGCCUGGGAGUUAUGUGUGGUUCAGUUUGCAGAAUCUUGUUUAGUUUUACAUUUAUCUUGCAUGCUCAAUUUUUAAGCAUAUAACCAGUUUGUAGGUCCUAAUAUUUGAUAUGUGGACGUGACCAAUCGGGGCAUGGAGAUUAUGGCGAGGCAUGGUGCUAUGGUGGCGGCGGUGAAGGUAUCCUCAUUGAAGGCGGUGUCGACGGAUGGCUGUCGAUGAAAGCGGCAUGGGGAUGGGGGAGGUGGAGUGUCGAGGGAUGGAGGCAGAGAACGGCAGCCAGGGAGGCUGGGUGGUAGUGAGAUUGGACUAGCUAGGAGUGUGGGCAAGAUUUCCUUUCCAGGAUGGCCGAGGGUUUCUUGGUGUGCAUGUGUGUGUGUGUGCAUGUGUGUGUUCACACAGAUACUCCACCAAAUACCGUGCAUGGUUAUCUGAAAUUAUAAACAAUAGUUAACAUCCAAGUGGUACAGGUAAGAACCUUCUUUUUAAUUUAUCAGGUGGCGUCAAUAGACCAUAAACUUUUCAUUUAUAGUGCUAAAGAUAUGUCAAUACAUGUUCUUACAUUUAGGCUCCUAAACUUGUUGAAUGAGUUCUAUAUACAAGAUUCAAGUCGUCCUUCUAUAAAUUAAGACUGCCGUUGCUAAUCUUUGUUGCAUUGCUAUUGAUGAGUCUAUAAUUGUCAACCUCGACAGUAACAACACUAUCGUUUUAUCUCUCAAUGUGAGCAAGCAAGAUUUAUUUCAGAUCUUUAUUUUAUUGGAUUAUUUUUAUAUAGAGAAGUUGAUGCUCGAUCUUGUUAUUCAUUUCCCGGGAUCAUUUCUUAGUCUACUGCAUCAUUAACAAGAGCUUGAGGAUUGCUUCGAGGAUUCUGCGGAUUUCUCCCAUAACCUCUUGUAGUGACACAAUGCUAUGAUCUUCAACCAUAAAAAUGAAACCGUCAGCGUUGAUGGCCUGCUCAUAUGAUCUCACAGGUACCAAAAUGCAGCUUAAAUCUCUUUUUAAGAAUUGGUUCAUGAUGUUCUUACAUUUAGCUACUCAUGUAUAGAUUUUAGGUUUACUUUUUUUCUCCUUGUAAAAUUCUUUUUGUUUGCUCACCUUGUAAUCAACUCUGUGAUUUUAUGAUUUAGAAAUCAGUCCAGGUGCCUAUAAAUGAAUUUAGUUUAACUCUAUAAUUAACCCUUAAGAAUAAUAUAUAAUUGCUCUAGUUGCACUCAUCCCUUAUUCAGAGCUUCACCAAUGGUGAUAGCGUUGUGUCAAGGAGAAGGUGGAGAGGGAGAAAGAGAAAGGGAGAAUGGAAGCCAAGUGAUAGACAAAGGGAGUGAAAGAUAGAAGACAAGCAAUAACUUGUGUUCUCUUACUAACGCUUUAUUUAUUGAGGACCUGUACCAAUGCACAGUUAUUUGUCGUUGUAUGAUGGAAACAUUUGGCGACUCAAACAGACAAAAAAUAAACAAAUUUUAUGUCCUUUUGGGUCACUGUGUUGUAGUUUAGCGUGGUAUGUGUGACACUCGGCUAAUGGAGCUGCUCAUCGGCCAUCGUACAGUGGUUGUGCAAAUAAGUUAUGUAAAACAUGGGUCAGGUACCCGGCGUUUUGUAUUCAUGAUUUUUUCUGGACU